GGUCGGUUAGCUCAGCUGGUUUACAGCAUGCUGCUAAUAACGCCAAGGUCGUGGGCUCAAUCCCCACACUGACCA